UCACCCCCAACAGUAGACACAAACAACAUUGAAUCAAGUUUAUCAGGUGAUACAUUAAGUUUGGAUGCAAAAACAUGUGAAACAAAUGAAUGCGAUGCACCAGUGUCAAAUAAAACAUGAGCAAUAUGGUCACAGAUAGUGUACAUACCCUGUACCACGUCCGGAUCGGCAUUGACAUCUUGCUGUGUGAGGUUGUAAACCCUACCCUGAAAAGGAGGUCUUCCUUGGUUCUGGUUCCUCAGGCAUUCUCUCGCAUAGUGCUGGGCACUACCACAUAUGCGACAGGUGUUGUUGAGGUGAUAGCAUGGUCGGUCCCCGUGAUCCCUGCCACAGUGCUGAAUAUCUUGCCACGUGCUGCCCCUAGAGCCUGAGAGGGGGCCUGGAUCACCGGUCUGGACCUCUUAUUUUAUUGGACAGGCGCAGUAGAUGCUAGUG
rnacentral:lncRNA from 1 species